GCUCGAUAGUAAUCAAGCCCUCUUCCUAGUGGUGAGCAGAGACAGCUUGCACUACUUCCUGAAGAGUCCAACUGAAUUAUAUUGGGUAACUUUCAUUCACCAGAGGCAUCAAGUUCUCAAUUUAUUAUACAUUGUAACACAAUUUCCAAUGACCUACUUUAGUGGAAAUCAGGGAUUGUAAACGCACCAAUCAGCAUCCUGUCAAAACGGACCAAUCAGCUCUUUGUAAAAUGGACCAAUCGGCUCUCUGUAAAAUGGACCAAUCAGCAGGAUGUGGGUGGGGCCAGACAAGAGAAUAAAAGCAGGCUGCCCAGCCAGCAGUGGCAACCCGCUGGGGUCCCCUUUGAUCCUGUGGAGGUUUUGUUCUUUCACUCAUUGUAAUAAAUCUUGCUGCUGCUC
rnacentral:lncRNA from 1 species